UCUCUGUAGCUCAGUUGGUUAGAGCGCUGAACCGGGACCACAGGGGCGCAGGUUGGAUUCAUGCCAGGAC